AUGGAGGCAAACAUUGGAGAUCUGCAGCAGAGAAAGAAGAAAGGAGCAAAAGAUGGAGAUGGGGCUGCAGGUGACCCCAAAAAGGAGAAGAAAUCUCUAGACUCAGAUGAGAGUGAGGAUGAAGAAGAUGACUACCAGCAAAAGCGCAAAGGCGUCGAAGGGCUCAUCGACAUCGAGAACCCCAACCGGGUGGCACAGACAACCAAAAAGGUCACACAGCUGGAUCUGGACGGGCCAAAGGAGCUUUCGAGGAGAGAACGAGAAGAGAUUGAGAAGCAGAAGGCAAAAGAGCGUUACAUGAAAAUGCACUUGGCUGGGAAGACAGAGCAAGCCAAGGCCGACCUGGCCCGACUGGCCAUCAUCCGGAAACAGCGGGAGGAGGCUGCCCGGAAGAAGGAAGAGGAAAGGAAAGCAAAAGAUGAUGCCACAUUGUCAGGAAAACGAAUGCAGUCGCUCUCCCUGAAUAAGUAACCGCGACGUGUGGGAGGAGAUGCCGGGGACCUGGGCCACGCUGCCAGGACCUCUGCUGUGUCUUGCCCACCCUGUGCCCUGGCGCCGCUGCAACAGCCCCUCACGGCCAGGAGCCCCCCACGGCCUGGGGCCUCCUCUUCAUCUUGGCACAGAAAUUGUUUGGGGGAUGUGGGGGGGGGGGGGCGCUGGGGGAGGGGCAGCCGCUAUCUUUGAGACAGAAAGAUGCAGGACAGCAUUUCAUAUGUAACCAUUUGAAUGUUUUCGCUGUUUUUAGAAUUCAGAGCCCUUGCUGGGGGGUGCCUGGGAGAUGGGGUAAGAAGAGCUUUCAUUUGUCUGGUAGAUAGAACGUAAGGGGAUGGUUGUCCCAGGAGGCAGCUGCCGACAGGUUUGCUAUACCCAGCCCCGGACUGUGUUGCCUGGGUGCUCAUUCAGAGAGGGGCUGUCAUCCGGGAGCCUGUGCCCCUGGGUCCUCGAGGGUCAUGGCUUGUCCCUGGUCAGUUCUGUCUGGUCGAGGCCUCGCCCGUCUGCCCUUCCCUGCCCAGUUCUUACCCACCUGGCCAGGGCCAGGCCCAUUUUUACCUACCCAUUGAUCAUUUCAAGAAACCUCUGUUUACUGUGUGGCACCCAGGCAAAACAUGCUCCACAAAUUCAACUUGUAUAUUUGGCAGAUUAAACUUGACAUUAUCGUAA